rnacentral:rRNA from 1 species
AGAAUUGACGGGGGCCCGCACAAGCGUGGAGCAUGUGGUUUAAUCGAAGCAACGCGAAGAACCUUACCAGGUCUUGACAUCCCGAUGCUAUUUCUAGAGAUAGAAAGUUACUUCGGUACAUCGGUGACAGGUGGUGCAUGGUGUCGUCAGCUCGUGUCGUGAGAUGUUGGGUUAAGUCCCGCAACGAGCGCAACCCCUAUUGUUAGUUGCCAUCAUUCAGUUGGGCACUCUAGCGAGACUGCCGGUAAUAAACCGGAGGAAGGUGGGGAUGACGUCAAAUCAUCAUGCCCCUUAUGACCUGGGCUACACACGUGCUACAAUGGUUGGUACAACGAGUUGCGAGUCGGUGACGGCGAGCUAAUCUCUUAAAGCCAAUCUCAGUUCGGAUUGUAGGCUGCAACUCGCCUACAUGAAGUCGGAAUCGCUAGUAAUCGCGGAUCAGCACGCCGCGGUGAAUACGUUCCCGGGCCUU